rnacentral:rRNA from 1 species
GGCCUAUUGAAUAUAAUUUUAGGUCGAUCUGCCCAAUGAUUUUGAAUUUAAUGGCUGCGGUAUUUUGACUGUACAAAGGUAGCAUAAUCAAUUGUUUUUUAAUUGGAAACUGGAAUGAAAGAAUUAAUGAGAUAUAUACUGUCUCAUAUAUAAUAAAUGAAUUUAAAUUUUUAGUUAAAAUGCUUAAAUUAUUUUAUGGGACGAUAAGACCCUAUAGAAUUUUAUAUUAAUAUAAAUAGUUAUGUUUAUAAAAUUUUUAUAUUAAUAUUUAAUUGGGAGGAUUAGUAAAUUUAAAGAACUUUAUUUUAAAUUUAAACUUUGAUUUAAGAAUUUUUUUUGAUCUUGUAUUAUAAAAAUAAGAAUAAAUUACCUUAGGGAUAACAGCGUAAUAUCUUUUUAAAGGUCAUAUUGAUAAAGAUGAUUGCGACCUCGAUGUUGAAUUAAGAUAAAUUUUAGAUGGAGAAGUUUAAAAAUUAAGUCUGUUCGACUUUUAAAAUCUUACAUGAUUUGAGUUCAAAUCGACGUGAGU